UGGGAUGGACGUUUCCCGCUGCAAACAGAGACGGGACAAAGCCGAUUUCCAAACAGAUCCAGACGCCGCUCGAGGAUGCGUUUGGCACGAGAAACGGCAGCACCACCAGCACCGACUCACCUCGUGCGCCUUUAAGUUGAGCCAAAAUGCAGAUGUUGGCACUGGCGUGGGCGGUGGCGCUGCUGUGCCCGAGGGCGUCACGGUCCGCAGAGUGUCCGGCCAGGUGCGACGUGAGGGCCUGCCCGAGCCCCGGCUGCCCCGGCGGCUACGUGCCGGACCGCUGCGACUGCUGCUUGGUGUGCGCCGCGGGCGAGGGAGAGCCGUGCGGCGGCCGGGACGGCCCGGCCUGCGGGGACGGCCUGGCGUGCCGUCGCCCGGACGCCGAGCUGCGGCCGCCGCUGCGGGGUUUGUGUCGCUGCGAGCUGAGCCGGGAGGCGUGCGGCAGCGACGGGAAGACGUACGCCAACGCGUGCCGGCUGAGGGCCGCCGGCAGGAAGGCGCAGCAGCAGGGACACCGGGACAUCGUUCAGGUCCGAACGGGACCCUGUCGCGGCGGCGCGGGUACUGCCAGUGCAACACGUGCUGCCAGCCCUCGAUACAGGUUCAACUUCAUCGCCGACGUGGUGGAGAAGAUCGCCCCGGCUGUGGUCCACAUAGAACUGUUCCUCAGGCAUCCCCUGUUCGGCCGCAACAUCCCUCUGUCGAGCGGCUCGGGCUUCGUGAUGUCCCGGCACGGGCUGAUCGUUACCAACGCUCACGUGGUCUCCAGCAACUCGCCCGUGUCGGCUCGCCAGCACCUGAAGGUCCAGAUGCAUAACGGCGACGUUUACGAAGCCAGUAUCAAAGACAUCGACAAGAAGUCGGACAUUGCCACCAUCAAAAUCCACCCUCAGACCGAGCUCCCCGUCCUGCUUCUGGGUCACAGCGCCGACUUGAGGCCCGGCGAGUUUGUGGUGGCCAUCGGCAGCCCCUUCUCCCUCCAGAACACGGUCACCACCGGCAUCGUCAGCACGGCCCAGAGGGACGGCAAGGAGCUGGGCCUCCGGGACUCGGACAUGGACUACGUCCAGACGGACGCCAUCAUCAACUUUGGCAAUUCUGGAGGGCCUCUGGUCAACUUGGACGGCGAGGUGAUCGGCAUCAAUACCUUGAAGGUCGCCGCGGGAAUCUCCUUCGCCAUCCCUUCAGACAGGAUCACUCGCUUUCUCAACAACUCCCUGGACAAGCACGGCACAAGCGAGACCUCGAUCGCGCCCCCUUCAGAUGUCCGGCCGGCCAAGAAGCGCUUCAUCGGCAUCAGGAUGCUCACCGUCACUCCGGCGCUGGUUGAGGAACUACGACAGCAGAGGCCCGACUUUCCCGACGUUCCCGCCGGCGGCAUCUACGUCCACGAGGUGGUUCCUCACUCCCCGGCGCAGAAAGGCGGCAUCAGAGACGGCGACAUCCUCGUCAAGCUGAACGGGCGCCCCGUGCUGAGCACGGCUCAGCUGCAGAGGGCGCUCCAGGAGGAGACGGCCCUCCUGCUGGAGGUGAGGAGGGACAACGAUGACCUGCUCUUCAACAUUCAACCGGACGUCAUCAUGCAAUAAACAACAGAGCGGCUCGGCGAGAAGGAACGUCUUCCUCGUCCGGAGGGAAAACCGAGCCGAUCCGCACCCGACUCCAUCUUCGGGUUGCGCCGCACAAAGGGAAAGAGACGACGUCGGCUGCUUUGACGACAAGUCAAAAAAUGUGCUGGGAUGACACGACGGCCGUAGCAUAACAUUAGCGGCGACGCGAUGGAUUGCCCGCUUGGACUUUGGGACCUAGUCCGAGAUACUGUAGUUCCCUAAAAAGGCCCCAACAAAUCUCUUUGUAGUGAUUCAGGAAUAAGGAACGAGUGAACGAUUGCGAACGCAGUCGUCGCUGGAAACUGCAAGAUUUGGUGCCAAGUUGCGUCUCCGCGUGGAGGCGGAGGCUUCCAAACGGAGAACGUACGCUCGCCCGGCGCGCGCCGUCUAGAGUUUGGGCCGCAGAGAUCCCACGGCGGGCUUGUCGGAGCAGAACUCUUUCCACCAGGACGGCCGCUCCAGCGCUCGGCGCCCCUGCGUCACCGUGGACCAGAGGUUCUUGUACAGCUGCGGCCGCACGGACACACAGUUUGCAUCACUCACUCGCGUGCGCGUUUGUCAGCGGCGGCAAGUACAAAUACUUUGUGCCCAACUCAAGCAGAUCUGUACUUUUAGUGACAACUCUUUACUUUUGAGGUCUGUACUUUCUACCGUUUACUUUGUCAAAACAGGCCGGCUACUUUUUCAGCCUCCGCACGACGUGCCAAGAGGCGAAUUCAACUGCGGUCGACAGACAUCUCGGGGCCGACCGAUUGUUUGAUACGGUCAGCUAAUGACGUGCGUUUUGUGCCGGCCGUCAAAGAACAAAACAACGGUCCCCCUUAUCAAAUAAGGUGCACUUUUUUCGGUUAUGACCCCUAAUUUUGCAUUUCUGGUGAGUCCAUUGAUAAUGUUAGCAAAGCUGUUUUGAUCUCGGGUCCAGUGGGUCUUUUCUUCUUGAGUAAUAUCCAAGUUAAUAAAAGAGGGAAACAAAGUGUUUUUUGUCCCCAUUGUGCCACGUGAUCAAAAUGGGUAUUGGAUAUAAUUGACAUUUGUACAUUUCAGAGUCUGUGCUUUUUGACUUGACUUGGGAAGAAGAGCUUAAUUAGUCUUUGAGUUAGUUAGUUAUUUGAAUGAAGUCGCGUUUACUCGGACUUGAGUCCCGUGCGUAACGAGGAACUUGCCUGCCCGUCGGCGUUGCCGAUGGGGGAGUUGAGGAUGAAGUCAGGGGGGGCCACUGGCAUCCGCCAGCGCCACCGCGUCGUCCUUCAGCUGCAAACAAAUUCACUUUACUUGAAUGUUCCGGCAGCCCGCCUUUCGCAUUUUGCACGGGACGCAUCGUUUGAACUGGAAUCAUCCUCAUCAUCAUGAGGAAGGCUAUUAUUGUGGUUAUUAUGGGGGCGGCGCGCGAGCGGGACCUGCGCGCAGAGAGUAAGAAUGGCCGUCUGGAUCAAGC